rnacentral:rRNA from 1 species
CCCUAUGGGGUGCAGCAGGCGAGAAAACUUUGCAAUGUGCGAAAGCCCGACAAGGUUAAUCUGAGUGGUUCCUGCUAAAGGAACCUUUUGUUAGUCCUAAAAACACUGAUGAAUAAGGGGUGGGCAAGUUCUGGUGUCAGCCGCCGCGGUAAAACCAGCACCUCAAGUGGUCAGGAUGAUUAUUGGGCCUAAAGCAUCCGUAGCCUGUUCUAUAAGUUUCCGGUUAAAUCCAUACGCUCAACGUAUGGGCUGCCGAAAAUACUGUAGAACUAGGGAGUGGGAGAGGUAGACGGUACUCGGUAGGAAGAGGUAAAAUUCUUUGAUCUAUUGAUGACCACCUGUGGCGAAGGCGGUCUACCAGAACACGUUCGACGGUGAGGGAUGAAAGCUGGGGGAGCAAACCGGAUUAGAUACCCGGGUAGUCCCAGCUGUAAACGAUGCAAACUAGGUGAUGCGUUGGCUUGUUGCUAGCGCAGUGCCUCAGGGAAGCCGUUAAGUUUGCCGCCUGGGAAGUACGUACGCAAGUAUGAAACUUAAAGGAAUUGGCGGGGGAGCACCACAAGGGGUGAAGCCUGCGGUUCAAUUGGAGUCAACGCCUGAAACCUUACCCGGAGAGACAGCAGAAUGAAGGUCAAGCUGAAGACUUUACCAGACAAGCUGAGAGGUGGUGCAUGGCC